UUCUGUCCAGAAAUGAGAAUCCCACC
rnacentral:piRNA from 1 species